UGCCAGCCGCCGCGGUAAUACGAAGGGCCCGAGCGUUGCGCGGAAUCACUGGGCUUAAAGGGUGCGUAGGCGGAGAUGUCAGUGUCCUGUGAAAUCCCACGGCUCAACCGUGGAACUGCGGGGCAUACUGCAUCUCUUGAGUUCGGUAGGGGCUGUCGGAACUCUAGGUGUAGCGGUGAAAUGCGUAGAUAUCUAGAGGAACACCAAUGGUGAAGACGGGCAGCUGGGCCGACACUGACGCUGAGGCACGAAAGCGUGGGUAGCGAACAGGAUUAGAUA
rnacentral:rRNA from 1 species